rnacentral:rRNA from 1 species
AGUGAACGCUGGCGGUAGGCCUAACACAUGCAAGUCGAACGGCAGCACAGUAAGAGCUUGCUCUUACGGGUGGCGAGUGGCGGACGGGUGAGAAAUACAUCGGAAUCUACUUUUUCGUGGGGGAUAACGUAGGGAAACUUACGCUAAUACCGCAUAUGACCUACGGGUGAAAGCAGGGGAUCUUCGGACCUUGCGCGAUUGAAUGAGCCGAUGUCGGAUUAGCUAGUUGGCGGGGUAAAGGGCCACCAAGGCGACGAUCCGUAGCUGGCCUGAGAGGAGGGUCGCCCCCCCCGGAACUGAGACACCGUCCAGACCCCUACGGGGGGGCGCAGUAGGGAAUAUUGGGGCAUGGGGGGAAGCCUGAUGCCGCCCCGCCGCCGGGGGUAAGAAGGGCUUCGGGUUUUUAAACCCUUUUUUUGGGGAAGAAAAAGGGCGGGAUUAAUCCCCCGCGUUUUGACGGUACCCAAAAAAAAAGCCACGGCUAACUUCGUG